UUACGGCCAUAUCACGAUGAAACACCUGUUCCUAUACGAUCACCAAAGUUAAGCAACAUCGAACCUGGCCAGUACCUAGAUGGGUGACCACUUGG